UGGCUGUAACAAAGGGAAGCGAAGCCGUGAGGUGGAGCAAAACCCAAAAAAGCAGUCUCAGUUCGGAUUGAAGGCUGAAAUUCGCCUUCAUGAAGCCGGAAUUGCUAGUAAUGGCAGGUCAGCAUACUGCCGUGAAUACGUUCCCGGGCCUUGUACACACCGCCCGUCACACCAUGAGAGUUGGGAAUACCCGAAGUCGGUAGUCUAACCGCAAGGAGGACGCCGCCGAAGGUGGGGUUGAUGAUUAGGGUUAAGUCGUAACAAGGUAAC
rnacentral:rRNA from 1 species